rnacentral:rRNA from 1 species
UACGUAGGGCGCGAGCGUUGUCCGGAAUUAUUGGGCGUAAAGGGCUCGUAGGCGGUUUGUCGCGUCGGGAGUGAAAUCCACUGGCUUAACUGGUGCUUGCUUUCGAUACGGGCAGACUGGAGGUAUGCAGGGGAGAACGGAAUUCCUGGUGUAGCGGUGAAAUGCGCAGAUAUCAGGAGGAACACCCGUGGCGAAAGCGGCGCGCUGGACCACUACUGACGCUGAGGAACGAAAGCUAGGGGAGCAAACAGG